rnacentral:tRNA from 1 species
AAAUAGGUAAGCUAAACAUCAAGCUUUUGGGCUCAUAACCCAACAAUGGAUUAAAUCCCCUAUUUA